rnacentral:rRNA from 1 species
UACGUAGGGGGCAAGCGUUGUCCGGAUUUAUUGGGCGUAAAGAGCGCGUAGGCGGCUUGGUAGGUCCGCUGUGAAAACUCGAGGCUCAACCUCGAGAUGUCGGCGGAAACCACUUGGCUAGAGUCCGGAAGAGGAGAGUGGAAUUCCUGGUGUAGCGGUGAAAUGCGCAGAUAUCAGGAAGAACACCUAUGGCGAAGGCAGCUCUCUGGGACGGUACUGACGCUGAGACGCGAAAGCGUGGGGAGCAAACAGG